rnacentral:rRNA from 1 species
UACGUAGGGUGCGAGCGUUGUCCGGAAUUAUUGGGCGUAAAGAGCUCGUAGGCGGUGUGUCACGUCGGCCGUGAAAACCUGCAGCUUAACUGUGGGCGUGCGGUCGAUACGGGCAUCACUGGAGUUCGGCAGGGAGACUGGAAUUCCUGGUGUAGCGGUGAAAUGCGCAGAUAUCAGGAGGAACACCCGUAGCGAAGGCGGCAC